rnacentral:rRNA from 1 species
AUUGAACGCUGGCGGAAUGCUUUACACAUGCAAGUCGAACGGCAGCACGGGGCAACCUGGUGGCGAGUGGCGAACGGGUGAGUAAUACAUCGGAACGUGCCCAAUCGUGGGGAUAACGUAGCGAAAGUUACGCUAAUACCGCAUACGAUCUACGGAUGAAAGCGGGGGAUCGCAAGACCUCGCGCGAAUGGAGCGGCCGAUGUCAGAUUAGGUAGUUGGUGGGGUAAAGGCGUCACCAAGCCGACGAUCUGUAGCUGGUCUGAGAGGACGACCAGCCACACUGGGACUGAGACACGGCCCAAACUCCUACGGGAGGCAGCAGUGGGGAAUUUUGGACAAUGGGCGAAAGCCUGAUCCAGCCAUGCCGCGUGAGUGAAGAAGGCCUC